UUAAGCGACUAAGCGUACACGGUGGAUGCCCUGGCAGUCAGAGGCGAUGAAGGACGUGCUAAUCUGCGAUAAGCGUCGGUAAGGUGAUAUGAACCGUUAUAACCGGCGAUUUCCGAAUGGGGAAACCCAGUGUGAUUCGUCACACUAUCAUUAACUGAAUCCAUAGGUUAAUGAGGCGAACCGGGGGAACUGAAACAUCUAAGUACCCCGAGGAAAAGAAAUCAACCGAGAUUCCCCCAGUAGCGGCGAGCGAACGGGGAGGAGCCCAGAGCCUGAAUCAGUGUGUGUGUUAGUGGAAGCGUCUGGAAAGGCGCGCGAUACAGGGUGACAGCCCCGUACACAAAAAUGCACAUACUGUGAGCUCGAUGAGUAGGGCGGGACACGUGGUAUCCUGUCUGAAUAUGGGGGGACCAUCCUCCAAGGCUAAAUACUCCUGACUGACCGAUAGUGAACCAGUACCGUGAGGGAAAGGCGAAAAGAACCCCGGCGAGGGGAGUGAAAAAGAACCUGAAACCGUGUACGUACAAGCAGUGGGAGCACAGAGCAAUCUGUGUGACUGCGUACCUUUUGUAUAAUGGGUCAGCGACUUAUAUUCUGUAGCAAGGUUAACCGAAUAGGGGAGCCGAAGGGAAACCGAGUCUUAACCGGGCGUUAAGUUGCAGGGUAUAGACCCGAAACCCGGUGAUCUAGCCAUGGGCAGGUUGAAGGUUGGGUAACACUAACUGGAGGACCGAACCGACUAAUGUUGAAAAAUUAGCGGAUGACUUGUGGCUGGGGGUGAAAGGCCAAUCAAACCGGGAGAUAGCUGGUUCUCCCCGAAAGCUAUUUAGGUAGCGCCUCGUGAAUUCAUCUCCGGGGGUAGAGCACUGUUUCGGCAAGGGGGUCAUCCCGACUUACCAACCCGAUGCAAACUGCGAAUACCGGAGAAUGUUAUCACGGGAGACACACGGCGGGUGCUAACGUCCGUCGUGAAGAGGGAAACAACCCAGACCGCCAGCUAAGGUCCCAAAGUCAUGGUUAAGUGGGAAACGAUGUGGGAAGGCCCAGACAGCCAGGAUGUUGGCUUAGAAGCAGCCAUCAUUUAAAGAAAGCGUAAUAGCUCACUGGUCGAGUCGGCCUGCGCGGAAGAUGUAACGGGGCUAAACCAUGCACCGAAGCUGCGGCAGCGACACUGUGUGUUGUUGGGUAGGGGAGCGUUCUGUAAGCCUGUGAAGGUGUGCUGUGAGGCAUGCUGGAGGUAUCAGAAGUGCGAAUGCUGACAUAAGUAACGAUAAAGCGGGUGAAAAGCCCGCUCGCCGGAAGACCAAGGGUUCCUGUCCAACGUUAAUCGGGGCAGGGUGAGUCGACCCCUAAGGCGAGGCCGAAAGGCGUAGUCGAUGGGAAACAGGUUAAUAUUCCUGUACUUGGUGUUACUGCGAAGGGGGGACGGAGAAGGCUAUGUUGGCCGGGCGACGGUUGUCCCGGUUUAAGCGUGUAGGCUGGUUUUCCAGGCAAAUCCGGAAAAUCAAGGCUGAGGCGUGAUGACGAGGCACUACGGUGCUGAAGCAACAAAUGCCCUGCUUCCGGGAAAGCCUCUAAGCAUCAGGUAACAUCAAAUCGUACCCCAAACCGACACAGGUGGUCAGGUAGAGAAUACCAAGGCGCUUGAGAGAACUCGGGUGAAGGAACUAGGCAAAAUGGUGCCGUAACUUCGGGAGAAGGCACGCUGAUAUGUAGGUGAAGUCCCUCGCGGAUGGAGCUGAAAUCAGUCGAAGAUACCAGCUGGCUGCAACUGUUUAUUAAAAACACAGCACUGUGCAAACACGAAAGUGGACGUAUACGGUGUGACGCCUGCCCGGUGCCGGAAGGUUAAUUGAUGGGGUCAGCGCAAGCGAAGCUCUUGAUCGAAGCCCCGGUAAACGGCGGCCGUAACUAUAACGGUCCUAAGGUAGCGAAAUUCCUUGUCGGGUAAGUUCCGACCUGCACGAAUGGCGUAAUGAUGGCCGGGCUGUCUCCACCCGAGACUCAGUGAAAUUGAACUCGCUGUGAAGAUGCAGUGUACCCGCGGCAAGACGGAAAGACCCCGUGAACCUUUACUAUAGCUUGACACUGAACAUUGAGCCUUGAUGUGUAGGAUAGGUGGGAGGCUUUGAAGUGUGGACGCCAGUCUGCAUGGAGCCGACCUUGAAAUACCACCCUUUAAUGUUUGAUGUUCUAACGUGGACCCGUGAUCCGGGUUGCGGACAGUGUCUGGUGGGUAGUUUGACUGGGGCGGUCUCCUCCUAAAGAGUAACGGAGGAGCACGAAGGUUGGCUAAUCCUGGUCGGACAUCAGGAGGUUAGUGCAAUGGCAUAAGCCAGCUUGACUGCGAGCGUGACGGCGCGAGCAGGUGCGAAAGCAGGUCAUAGUGAUCCGGUGGUUCUGAAUGGAAGGGCCAUCGCUCAACGGAUAAAAGGUACUCCGGGGAUAACAGGCUGAUACCGCCCAAGAGUUCAUAUCGACGGCGGUGUUUGGCACCUCGAUGUCGGCUCAUCACAUCCUGGGGCUGAAGUAGGUCCCAAGGGUAUGGCUGUUCGCCAUUUAAAGUGGUACGCGAGCUGGGUUUAGAACGUCGUGAGACAGUUCGGUCCCUAUCUGCCGUGGGCGCUGGAGAACUGAGGGGGGCUGCUCCUAGUACGAGAGGACCGGAGUGGACGCAUCACUGGUGUUCGGGUUGUCAUGCCAAUGGCACUGCCCGGUAGCUAAAUGCGGAAGAGAUAAGUGCUGAAAGCAUCUAAGCACGAAACUUGCCCCGAGAUGAGUUCUCCCUGACCCUUUAAGGGUCCUGAAGGAACGUUGAAGACGACGACGUUGAUAGGCCGGGUGUGUAAGCGCAGCGAUGCGUUGAGCUAACCGGUACUAAUGAACCGUGAGGCUUAACCU
rnacentral:rRNA from 1 species